UUACCCCCCUAGCCUAUACCCAAAAUCCCUACGACACACCUUAUCUUUGAUGAGGUCCUAUUACCCCCUCCAACUUUUUUUUAAGUAAUAUAUUACCCCUUGCGUGCCUACGUGACAAAAAUAAUCUGCAAGGUCGAUUUGUUUGUUGAACACGCGCCAGGACCCACUUUUUCAGUUUUCGAUAAAGUGACUUUAAUGAUAUAUACUCCUCCUCUCUCACGUCCCACCCCACUCCCUAUACCCCAUAAUUAAUAAAUCUAUAUGAAUAAAGAUAAUGAGUUUUGUUUCAAAUUGUUAAUAUUGAUCUUUUAUUAUUUUAUCAUUUGGUUUAAUAUAAUUAUCAAGUUCAGAAUUAAUAAUCGACAUAAAAUAAGAAUUAAUAAUCGACAUAAAAAGAUGUAAAGAAUAUAUUAAAUUUUACUUUACCUUUUCAAAUCAAGGAGCUUGAAUGAUAAUGGAUGGAGCUUCUUCAAAAAUGAAGAACCAUAAACAUGGGGUUAUUUUUUGAAAAGAGGAAGAAGAUGCUUUGAGAGAAACAAUAAAAUUUAUUUUUGAAUUUUUUUUCAAAUUGCUUUGACACGUGGCUCAUUUUUAUUGGCCAUUGUUAGCCAAAAGCUGCACUCACUCUGCACUCACUCCGCACUCACGCGCCCUACAUGGAUGAAAUCACGAUUUUUGCCACGUAGGCACGCAAGGGGUAAUAUAUUACUUAAAAAAAAAUUGGAGGGGGUAAUAGGACCUCAUCAAAGAUAAGGUGUGUCGUAGGGAUUUUGGGUAUAGGCUAGGGGGGUAAUUGAGUAUUAUCCCUUUAAAUUAAUUACAUUUAAUAAAGAUAAUAACUGAUUAGCACUUAUUAAGGAAGUUUUAAAAAAAUCAGAUUAACUAGUUACCUUAAAAAUCUCAAUUUAGUUAAAAUCAAAUUUAAUUGUGAUUUGAUUCCUUAAAACGCUCUAAUACAAAUAAAUCAUCGUAAAAUCUGUUUUUUUCAGUUAUCGUGUUUCUCUUUCUUUUUUUGCAGAUUGCAAUUCAUUUUUUUAGUGAUAGAAUAUAUUUUGUUGUUGAAAAAACGUGAUUUGUUGUGAUGGACAACUAUAUUAAUUUAACAUGGUGGAAGGUGAAAUUCUUCAGGUUGAUAUUUAUUAUAGUUUGUUGAUUUGUUUUUAGAAAUUUUAUUCAAUUUACAGAUUAUUGAUUGUUUUGUUUCACACACCAUUUUUGUAUAUACCAUACUAGAACCAACACGGCACAGAUAGAAGUAUAGAUUUUUAAUAAAAUUGAACAUUCGAGUAAUACGUAUUGUAUGAAAAAAUGAAAUUGAUUGUACAGUGUAUUUAGUAAAUAUGCUAGAAAAAAUUAUUUAUAAUGUUGUUAAUCGUUGAUGUAUAAAAUUUGUACUAAACGUGUAUGAAAUUUAUAAUAAUUUAUUUAAUAUAUUUGUAUGAAUUUCAUUUUGAUAAGCAUUGUAUUGUUUGUUUUUGGAUGAUGAAAGUAUGAUUUAUUUUAAAUAUGAAUUAUGUUUUGAAUAGCAUUUUAUGUAUAUUACAUGAUGAAAAAUUAAGUGUUCUUUAUGUAUUCAUUCAGUUAUAUGUUGGAUGUUUUAAGAAAAUACAGAUUUUGAAUAGCUGUUUCUAUUUUGGUAAGGUAAUGUUUUGACUUAAUUGUGUAUGAAGUGAGUAUGAAAUGUGUAUUCUUGUCAUAGUUAGUAUGUUGUGAAUAGCAAUGUCGAUAUGGCAUGUGAUGGUGAAAGUUAUACUUAUUAUGUAUGAAAUAACUAUUAAAUUUUUUUUUGUGUAUGAACUAUCUUUUCAAGAGAAUACAAUUCCAUCCGUUUGACCGGAGUGAAUUUAGACGGAGAUGUCGAUGAGAAUAGUGAAGAGAUAAUGAUGUAAUAAGUGACCAUUCUAACUUAUUUGUAGCUGAGAAUCAGAUUUACAAUAAUAGGGAAACACUUAAGGAGGUUAGGAGGCAUGUUGGACUUGUCGAAAAAUUUAGUUUUCGUGUUUCGCGUUUUAAUGCAUCUAAUUAUCACCUGACUUGUCUUUCUGAUACUUGUUCUUGGAUGAUGAGAUCAUCUAGUUUGAAUAGAUCAAAUUAUUCAAAGUCAGGAAGUACAAUGUUGAACACACUUGUUCUGUUAGAGAUAGAGUGUAUGUAAGACGUCAGGGGAUAACUGCCGUUGUAGCUGUCUCAAUAACGGAUAAGUAUGUUGAUCCAUUUACCGUAUACACUUCAAAGGAUAUAGCUGAGGAUAUUUUAAAAUUGCAUAGUGUUUCGCUAACAUACAUACAGGGGUGGAGAGCUAAGGAAAAAACGAUAAAAUUGAUGCGUGGAGAUCCGGCCGAAUCAUAUGCCAAACUACCACGUAAUUUAGGUGUAAAUUAUGAAUUUAAAAUUUUUUUAAUUGUAAAAAUGAAAAAACUGCUAUAUAGUUUGUUUUUUUUAAUGGAAUUGAAUUUUUUGUUUAGUAUUCUUUAUGAAUCACUUUUAUAUCCUUUA